rnacentral:rRNA from 1 species
UGAGGAAUAUUGCACAAUGGGCGCAAGCCUGAUGCAGCAACGCCGCGUGCGGGACGAAGGCCUUCGGGUCGUAAACCGCUUUUCUGGGGAAAGAGCAAGGACGGUACCUCAGGAAUAAGUCUCGGCUAACUACGUGCCAGCAGCCGCGGUAAAACGUAGGAGGCGAGCGAUAUCCGGAUUUACUGGGCGUAAAGCGCACGCAGGCGGCUCUGUGAGUCGUACGUGAAAGCUCCCGGCUUAACCGGGGGAGGCCGUUCGAUACUGCGGGGGUUGAGGUAGGGAGGGGAAUGAGGAAUUCCGGGGGUAGUGGUGGAAUGCGUAGAUAUCGGGAGGAAAACCGGUGAGGAAAGCGGCAUUCUGGCCGUCACCUGACGCUGAGGUGCGAAAG